CUCUUCAUUGGUCUUCUCCACUCCCCACAUCCAGGGCCCUCGGCACACUUCGGGUUAUCAAUUUUUGGAGCCUCCCAUUCACCAUCUUCCUCAUCAACCCAAUCUUCAGGCUUUGUUGCCUCAGGAUCAUCGAUCUCUUCAGGCUCGUCAUCCAACCAUCCCUCGGGCUUCUCAGCUUCCUCAUCUUCAAUCUCCAUUGGUGCAUCCUCGUCCCAAUCAUCAGGUUUCUUAGCAUCUGGGUCUGGGAUCUUUUCCCUCUCAUCCCAGUCCUCGGGCUUCUUAUCUUCUGGAUCUGGAAUCGUCUGUGCAGGAAUGAGAGAUGGCUCAAAAUCAUCCUCUGAAAGAAAGCUAGCCUUCUUCUUCUCUUCCCCGUCAAUCAAGAUCAGCAACUCAUUGUCCGGUUUCAGCACAGCAGUGUAGACAUGGGUUAGUUUGUCAGAAGGUACAGAUGGUGGAAAAUUAAGGUGGUGCUCGAUGUACUCCCCACUCUUAGGAUUCUUGUGUUUCAAGAUGAAGUGAACCUUGUUUGUGGC
rnacentral:lncRNA from 1 species